ensembl:lncRNA
AAAGGUCUUAUUUGAUUUAGAAGUACAAAUUCUCUCAGAACUUGAAGGGAAUUUCAUACCUAAAAUUCAUAGGUGAUUUUAAAACCAAGAGCUUCUUUUUAAUUAAAAGCAAUUUUCUAACCAACUCUUGGUGCAAGUAGCAUGUGGUCUCAUGCUUCUGCAGGUUGACUUUCACACUUCUAGAACCGGAAUGAAAUUAUAUCAGAAUCAUUAUGCAUGGAAUUACUCAAGGAAAAAUAAUCAAGAGCUUAACAACCUAUCUGCUUUUGAAGAUAAAGGAUAUGCUGCCAAGGCAGUGAAGUGACUUCUGCGUCUCUAUUUGUUUUCCAGCAAAUGCUUUUCUUAUGAAAAAGAAAAAUCUUGUUGUCAUCUAUGUGAGUGGUGAAGAGACCUUAUGCAGCUAUUUUGACUAUACACGCAGUAAAAAGGUAGACUUUGGAUGCAGACUGUAGCCAUCUCUCCAGCCUUGUCUUUGGCUCCAGAACCUGCUGCUCCUGACAGGAUUAUCUGCUUGGAGCCUGGACUUGAUUUACUUUUGAGUCUAUGGCAGCUGAUGGGCCCUGUUACCAGCACCCAGCUAUGCAUGCUAUGUUGACAUCUUGUGGGACAGCACCCUGUUG